CUAAAUCUAGGUGCUGCAAGAAAAGUCACAGCCUUGGGGUUUCAGUGAAGAGACUGACCAAAUGUUCUUGAAGUAGUGAGAAAAGUCUAUAGGUGUGACUCCCUUAAGCUGCUCUCUCCUGCCAUUUGGGCAACAGCUAACUUCCGAGAUCAACCUUGUUUCUGGAGAAGCAUUCUUCCCACAUGGGAAAGGCAAGGAUGGUGCUGGGCCUGUCUGCCUCUGUGUUCCCUGGACACCUCCAUUCCAGUGCAAGAUUCUCAUGGUUGAAUUCACACAUGUGGACACAUUUGUGGAGAGCCUCCUCAGACCCCGGAGCUGUCCCAGGGCAGGGAUACAGAGAUAAAUAAUAAAAUUCCUGCCCAUGAAGAACCCAGAGCCCCAAAGAAAGAUUAAUAGUGUAGAUUUCAGUAGAGAAAGAA